UACGGGGGGAGCAAGCGUUGUUCGGAUUUACUGGGCGUAAAGGGCGCGUAGGCGGCGUGACAAGUCACUUGUGAAAUCUCCGGGCUUAACUCGGAACGGUCAGGUGAUACUGCUUUGCUAGAGUGCAGAAGGGGCAAUCGGAAUUCCUGGUGUAGCGGUGAAAUGCGCAGAUAUCAGGAGGAACACCAAUUGCGAAGGCAGCUCGCUGGGACGUAACUGACGCUGGAGAACGCGAAAGCGUGGGGAGCAAACAGG
rnacentral:rRNA from 1 species